rnacentral:rRNA from 1 species
UACGAAGGGGGGCUAGCGUUGCUCGGAAUCACUGGGCGUAAAGGGUGCGUAGGCGGGUCUUUAAGUCAGGGGUGAAAUCCUGGAGCUCAACUCCCAGAACUGCCUUUGAUACUGAAGAUCUUGAGUUUCGGGGAGAGGUGAGUGGAAACUGCGAGUGUAGAGGGUGAAAAAUUCGUAGAUAUUCGCAAAGAAACACCCAGUGGCGAAAGGGCGGCUCACUGGGCCCCGAUACUGACGCUGAGGCACGAAAGGGCCCAGGGGGAGCAAACGGGGG